GUUCUUUGCCAGAUAGUCGCUCCGCCUAAAUGCGUAAGCUUUGGGCGAGAGAGGAAAGUCCGAACACCGUCCCGCUAAGCGGGACAGAGGCAAUGGCUAACAGUCAUGACUCGCAAAAGAGAUUUUGCGGGUACGGAUAGUGUCACAGAGACCAUACCGCGACAUCAUCAAUUUUGGCCUAAAACCAAAAAGGUUGAUACGUAAGGGUGAAAAGAGGUGAGGUAAAAGCUCACAGCGUACGUUGGCAACAGCGUGCGGUGAAAAACACCUGCCCGGUGCAACCUCGUAAUAGGGGGCUAGAGUCCUCGACGUAAGUNNNNNNNNAGCAGGAAGCUGCGUUAGUUACAGAAUUCGGCUUAUAGACGGAGAACAUGA
rnacentral:RNase_P_RNA from 1 species